rnacentral:lncRNA from 1 species
UCUCACACAUAUGAUGAAUCAUGGCACAGGAUCGAAUGUCACAACUUUACUAUAUAAUAGGAAUUCUAUACAAAAUAAAUAAUUACAUAUAAGGAGACAACGGUCCAGCAACCCAAAGUUGACUGGGAGACGACGACCUAGACCUCUCACGAACACAUCACAUCAUCCUCCAAGCGCCUCAUCCAGCGGUACCUGUUCUUGACCUGUGGGGGGUGUGAGACAGCAAGAGUGAGCUCACAUACGUUCAUCGCUCAACAAGUUGUGGGGAAUAAUGUGCAUGAACUCGCCAAAGGUGGGAGCUCACGUGAAGUGUAAGGCUUACCAAAGAGGAUGGUUAGAGCUGAGCGUUGCUUUUAAAGUUGGUCAAAAUUUUAUUAGCAAUUACUAAGUAUAAGUAAAUACCAACCCAAUUAAGUAGUAGAACAAAAGUAACAACAUCACCUGCGAUGCAAUGCAUAUGACAAAUUGAAUUUAAGUUUCAUAAUUUAAUCAUCAGAGAGUCCUGAGCUGCUCAUGACCGUGAGCUCGGCUAGUAUACCAGUUUUACACUCUGCAGAGGUGGUACCCUUUACCCACAAGUCAUGUUACCCAUCUGCCAAGGGAUCGCGACUUCCCAUACACCUCUACCGAGGAGGCGAGGCAGGGUAACACUACGAGGCCUUUACAAAGUUCCACUAGCUUUAGAAAACCCGCUACAGUUUAUAGGAAGCUCCAAUGCAGGGUUCUUGCCUGACCGCCAUCGCAGCAAAAUCAACCAAGGACCUCCCUACACUGACCACUCCCCUACUGCCCUUGCCCCUUUCGGGUAAGGUAGUCCUCCACUAGCUUUCCUAAUUAAUCAGCCAAGGGCGUCCAUAAACCCUUGUGGUGGCACAUGUUUCUCAAGUUAAGCUCUAUGUUCCAAUUAACAUUAAUGAUCUUGACAUGAGCAUAAAUAGAAUAACAAAAUAACUGAAACAUAGAUAUGAUAAAUAAUUAUCCCAAAUCCAUAUAAAGCAAUAGCAAACUACCCAAGUGAUUCAGGGGUAAACAAGGUAAUGAGAUAAACAAUCUAGGGUAACCUAUUGGGUCCCAUCAAAAUUAACCUAUGCAUGAAUAAAUGAUAUUAAAGAACAUUAUUGGGUAACAAAAGUGAAUCAAGGGCACAACUUGCCUGGGACUUGAGAUUCCAGGUACCAGGAUGAUCUUCAGGUGACUCGUGACCUCACGCUAGUCGUAGCAAUACAAACAAACAGUGUAUAGACAAAAUUAACAUUACACCAAACAUAAGUACAAACUGAAUAAUAAUAAUCUACGCGUCGCUACGAGACUAACGCAACUUCAACGGAUCAAAUCGGAGUUAAAACGAAGCAGUUACGAAUUUCCUAAGGUUUUAUGUAUUUGAUACGAGAUUAAUUAAGAGAUAAAUUUUAAUACAGCUUUCAUGUCAAACCAGAGGUACUAUGUGAUAAACAAUAAUAUUAUAGAAUUAUAGGAAUUGGAAUGAAUCAAUUUGGACAUCAUAUGAAUUUUCUAUGAUUAAUACAAGUUCUAGCAUUUAGUUUUACACUAAAAAUCCAUUUCUAAUCUAUUUUCUCUGAUUUUCCAACUUUCUGGACUAGGCCUCAAUUACCCGAAAAGGCAGGGGCCUCGGGGUAACAUUUCUAAGACACAAGAAACAGUAGCCAUGGACUGCGGGUUCUAAUUUGCCUAAACCGAGGGGUUCCAGUGAAAUUGGGCCCGCGAAGGGGUAUCGUGAGAUUCUGGCCGUUCGAUCAGAAACUACAGGCUCCGAUUAGAUCGCAAUUUUCUCCAAGCGGUACACCUCGCUAGCCGCCGAAUCUCGCAUCGACGGUUCUGAUUCCCUGAAACACUCGUCGCCCCGAACUCUAAUCCCAGUCGCCCAACUAAGAUCCAAUGGUUACAAACAUCUCCCCUUUCCCUACCAUCCGAGACUGCUCACCUAGGAAUCAACGGCUAACACACCGUCUUCUCCACGGCGCUAUCCGCCGCUGCGCGCACCAGGCAGGCACAGCCCCACCCACGGCCGCAGACGCCCCCCACCGAUGCGCGCAGUAAUCACGCCACCACGUCAGACCUAGGUCGAGCGAUGGUGAUACCACGCCCCGCUACGCCGAGCCGAACGCCAGCCCAGAUUAAGUCUAGCCGCCAAGGUGAGCUACGCCAGGAAGAAGAAUAAGGCGAGAACGUGGGGGUGUUCCCUACCGAGGGAUUGCGCGACGCAGGAGACCACAGCCGAAGUCUUGCGGCCCGACGAUGCCGACGUGGAUCCACCACGGCGGCCGCAUGCUCUACCCCUGCUACGACGGCGACUCUAUUUGUCGAUGUGGAGGGUCACUGAUUGUCGCAUCCAAGGUAUGCGGCGGCCGUUCUUUUUAUAUCCCGAACGCGAGGCCGAGGACCCAGUCAAAUCCCACCGACCCGCCGAAAUCGCGGAUUCUGUUAGGCUUCGGUGCUCGUUUCAACGAGGAAGACGC